rnacentral:misc_RNA from 1 species
UCGUACAACGGGGGUGCGAGGGCUGUCGCUGACCUUUCAAAAAGGUCGUGCACGCCUGAGCGCUCUCACACAUCCGUCUCACCCCAUUGUGCAUCACCGCGUGGGUCCCCUUUGCAGGAGGGCUCACGUUUUCACACAAAACUUGAUACAGUGUAGAAUGUUAUCUUUUGCGGUCACACGCAAUCAAUA